rnacentral:rRNA from 1 species
CGCGUAGGUGGUUUGUUAAGUCUGAUGUGAAAGCCCUGGGCUCAACCUGGGAAUUGCAUUGGAUACUGGCAGGCUAGAGUGCGGUAGAGGGUAGUGGAAUUCCCGGUGUAGCAGUGAAAUGCGUAGAGAUCGGGAGGAACAUCUGUGGCGAAGGCGACUACCUGGACCAGCACUGACACUGAGGCACGAAAGCGUGGGGAGCAAACAGGAUUAGAUACCCUGGUAGUCCACGCCCUAAACGAUGCGAACUGGAUGUUGGGCUCAACUUGGAGCUCAGUAUCGAAGCUAACGCGUUAAGUUCGCCGCCUGGGGAGUACGGUCGCAAGACUGAA